rnacentral:rRNA from 1 species
AUGGAGUCAGUGCGCCUCCUGCUCGCUCUAGCCGCGCGCGCGGGCUGGGGCGUGCAUCACAUGGACGUGAAGAGUGCGUUUCUGAACGGGGAGCUCCAGGAGGAGGUCUACGUCGCGCAACCACCUGGGUACAUCGCCGCCGGACAGGAGAGCAAGGUGCUGCGCCUCGACAAGGCCUUGUACGGCUUGAAACAGGCGCCGCGCGCCUGGAACCAGAAGCUGGACGCAUGCCUCGCGUCGCUCGGGUUCGAGCGCAGCACCACCGAGCACGCCAUCUACGGGCGUGGCAACGCAUCGUCUCGCCUCCUUGUGGGGGUGUACGUCGAUGAUCUGGUCAUCACCGGCAACAACGACGGGGAGAUCACGCGGUUCAAGGAGGAGAUGAUGAAGCUCUUCAAGAUGAGCGAUCUCGGUCUCCUAAGUUUUUACUUGGGGAUCGAGGUGCACCAGGCGCGGGCUGGUAUCUCCCUGAACCAGACGGCUUACGCUGAGAAGAUUCUGGAGCGCAGCGGCAUGACAGGGUGCAACCCGUGCGCGGUGCCCAUGGAACCCAGACUGAAGCUUAGCAAGCAGAGCACCGCGCCUCUGACUGACGCGACGGAGUACCGCGGCCUCGUCGGGUGUCUGUGCUAUCUGGUUCACACCAGGCCGGACAUCGCUUUCGCCGUCGGCUACGUCUCGCGCUUCAUGGAGGCGCCCACCAUCGAGCAUCUGGCUGCGGUGAGGAAGAUUCUGCGCUACAUCGCCGGCACUUUGCAUUGGGGCUGCUUCUACCCAAGGGGAAAAGGAGAUGGCCACCUCGCUGGUUACAGCGACAGUGACAUGGGAGGAGACAUCAACACACGUCGGAGCACGACCGACGCCAUGUUCUUCUACGGCAACAGUAUUAUCAGCUGGCAGUCCCUCAAGCAAAAGGUCGUGGCUCUGUCCUCCUGCGAGGCCGAGUACAUCGGUGCCACGACAGCAGCAUGCCAAGGAGUUUGGCUGGCUUGUUUCCUCGGCGAGCUCAAGAAGGAGAGGCCAGCCUGCUUCCCACUCUGGAUGGAUAACAAGUCUGCCAUCUCCCUCGCGAAGAAUCCCGUGUUUCAUGAGCGAAGCAAGCACAUCGAUGACCGUUUCCACUUCAUCAGAGAAUGUGUGGAGAACAAGCAAGUGGAGGUGGAAUUCGUCGGCACAGACGGACAGCUCGCCGAUCUUCUCACUAAGGCUCUUGGGCGCGUGCGCUUCACGGAGCUGCGAGCAAGGAUCGGCAUGGUAGAGAUUGACAAGGGCUUAGGUUUUAGGGGGUGA